CGCUUGGCUCGUCUAACGGCCAAGGCUUCCUGAUUUCGGGCCCGGCCUGCAAAGUGAGGCCUCGGGCUGGGGUUGGCGGGCCCGUGGUGGGAACCGCGUGGAACCGAAGAGCUCCCACGGGAACAAGGGCAUCACUGACGAAACUGAGGUACAGAGAGGCUAAGUAACCUGCUCAAUGUGACCGACCUAUUAAGAGGAGCUGGGAAGUUGAACCCCGCAAUCUGGCUCCUGAGCCAUGAAAAAGCAGGAUGUGAUGGAGCUGAGAAAGCCAUGUGGCUAGCUGGGCGUGGUGGCUCAUGCUUGUAAUCCCAGCACUUUGGGAGGCUGAGGUAUCAUUUGCCAUAAUUUAAAAGUGGAGAAAUAUGGAAGAAUUAUCACCAAUCCAGACAUAGAAAUACUCAAGAGUAACAGAAUAUACACCUAAAAUGGUUUCUGCUAGCCUUUAUUUGUGAAAAUUUACACAAAACCCCCCAAUCCAACAUUUACAAGUGAAUCUGUAUAAAUCCCACAUGACUCUUUCCCAAACAAAUCAAAAAAAUGGCUUUAUGACAGGGGUCCAUGACAAUGGUAUAACAAAGCUCACUUAAACUGUGUCCUCAUUUAUAUUAUACAGACCAUUUUGGUUAAUAUGCUCAAAAACGGAGGAAAGCAGAUAACACCCGUUUUUAAAGCUUAUUUGCUCUUAUAUCAGUUUUUUGUCAAAGGCAAUACUUUUCCUUUUUGGAUAAAACCAAAGUAUAAUAUCAAUUAACUUUUAAAACAAAAGCACAAAAUGUC